CAAAAUCCUUUCAGAGACAAAUGUGAAGUUUUAACUGCAAAAAUAAAUUCCCAGUGUGAACAUACAGAUUGGUGGAAUAAGGAACAGUGUGACAUAGCAAAUAAUGUAAAGGAAGAAUUGGACCUUGAGGGAAAUGGGAGCCAAUUAAGAACAGUUUCCAAAACACUUAAGAGCACAAACUCACCUUUAAGUGCAUAGUGGUCCUGCUGGUGUUAACAGGGCAAUUUGUGUGCCUGAAGUGUACAGGUACAUGGUUGCAGGGCUGUGCGGGUGUUUGCUGGCUCAGCAUGUUUAACUCGCAUAUUGUCAGACAGCUAGGCAAGAGGCAAGAAGCCAAAACCGUACGGAGAACACAUGAAUGCUUGAUGUUGCUGUGGAAGGACUGUUUACUCUCUCAUACCUAUGUUUUGAGAGAAGUAUGGCUCUGUGUUAGAUUUAUAAAGGAUUAAGUUGUAUACAAUUACUGCCAAAGGAAUAAAUGGGAAACAGUUUAAAGAAAGAAAAAUAGUUGUUCCUAAACUCUGUCAACAGCAUUGGGCUGUAGCCAGGAAAAAGUACAAAAGAAUGCCCAGUGCUAGUCAGUAAAAAAACAAAACAAAAAACUUUAAAGGAAACUUGCAAAAGCUGUGACUUAAUUCUGUAUGUGUAGUACUUAGGACUACAUUGCAAAUGAGGUAUUUUGGGAUCCAUAAUUAAUAGAUUACAUAGUCAAAUAAAUGAUUAAGCAAAAACAGGAAGAAAAAUCAGAGAACCUUAAGGCACACUUGCAGGAGAAAAUGCUUUUCAGGUUUUCAUCAUAAACUAUAUAAAUGGAAACAAACAUAGACUUCUGUAAUGUUUGGCAGAGGAAGGGGCUUUCUAAAUAACCUAAGAAAUCCUGUCUAGUAUGUUAGUUCUGUACAACUGUCCGCAGAGAGGCAAUAAGGAUAAAUAAGAGGUGGUACCCCAAUUCGUUUGAAUCCUAAGGAUUGUGGAACUUGAGACUUAAUUUGUGAAUCUUAUUUUUUUCAAAUGUACUUUUUUUAAAAAAAGUAUACUAGGCUUUAGAAAACAACUGCUUGAACUGAAAAGCUGGUGGUUUAUAUAUGCAUACCAUGCAAUUUCUUAAUGAAGCCUUCCUCCAGUAAAUAUCAUAUAUAUUAACAUUAUGCCAACUAAAAUAUUUCAAGUUUUCACUCCUGCUUGAUCAUGGUGUUCUAGUUCCUUGUAUUUUAUAAAAGACACUGAAGAAUAUGUAUUUAUUUAAAUAUUUGAGGUAAUUUCUUUGACAGGAUGCCUGUUCCUUGACAUCAGAAUUCAUUGUGAUUCCAUCUUGGUUGCAUAUUGCCUUCUUAAGAGACUUGCUUAGGUUUUUGUUUCGGGUUUACUCCUUUCAAGGUAAAGAAAAGAGGAGAACUUACGUACUUGCAGCACUUCAUAUAUAGUUUUUGACUGUCACAGCUGGUAUGUUAUUCGCCACAUACCGAAAACUCUGUAAAAAAGUUUAUCUUCCCUAGGCUUAGUCUGGAAAGGUGCAAAACAAGCACUUCUACUAUGCAAAUAGGAUGGACUGGAGAUGUACAGGAAAUUGGGUAUGCAGAUAUUGAUGUAACCUUACAGAAACAGGAGCAGCAACACAAAGCCAGAGCACAUUCGUAAUUUCAGCAUUCUAGAUGUUUGGAACUUUGUAAGUGUUGAGCCCCAGCCUUGCAGCAAGAAGUGACCCAGAACAGCAGGGACACUGCUCUGGCAGAAGCGUGGACAGAGGCCAGCAUGUGAACAGGGCGGGAGCAGAAGCUUAAACCUUUCACAUCGGCAAUACUAAGGCUAUCACCAAGAUGACUCAGCAUGGAAAACCAGCAGAAAUUCAUUUUCUGGCAGCGAGCUAGAAGGAAGCACUUUUGAAAGUGCUACAAAACUAAUGCAGUAAAAACACAUUUUUAAAAU